rnacentral:rRNA from 1 species
GAUGAACGCUGGCGGCGUGCCUAAUACAUGCAAGUCGAGCGAACAGACGAGGAGCUUGCUCCUCUGACGUUAGCGGCGGACGGGUGAGUAACACGUGGAUAACCUACCUAUAAGACUGGGAUAACUUCGGGAAACCGGAGCUAAUACCGGAUAAUAUAUUGAACCGCAUGGUUCAAUAGUGAAAGACGGUUUUGCUGUCACUUAUAGAUGGAUCCGCGCCGCAUUAGCUAGUUGGUAAGGUAACGGCUUACCAAGGCAACGAUGCGUAGCCGACCUGAGAGGGUGAUCGGCAAACCGGAACUGAGACCAGGGCCCGAACCCUUAGGGGAGCCAGAGUAGGGAAAUCUCCCGAAUGGGCGGAAGGCUGAACGAGCAAACGCGCGGUGGGUAAUGAGGGUCUCGGAUCGUAAAACUCUGUUAUUAGGGAAGAACAAAUGUGUAAGUAACUAUGCACGUCUUGACGGUACCUAAUCAGAAAGCCACGGCUAACUACGUG